rnacentral:rRNA from 1 species
UACGUAGGUGGCAAGCGUUGUCCGGAUUUACUGGGCGUAAAGAGCGCGCAGGCGGUCGAUUUAGUCGUGUGUGAAAGCCCCCGGCUCAACUGGGGAGGGUCACGCGAUACUGAUCGACUCGAAGGCAGGAGAGGGAAGUGGAAUUCCCGGUGUAGUGGUGAAAUGCGUAGAUAUCGGGAGGAACACCAGUGGCGAAGGCGACUUCCUGGCCUGUUCUUGACGCUGAGGCGCGAAAGCUAGGGGAGCAAACGGG